rnacentral:rRNA from 1 species
UACGGGGGGGGCAAGCGUUGUUCGGAAUUACUGGGCGUAAAGGGCUCGUAGGUGGCCAACUAAGUCAUACGUGAAAUCCCUCGGCUUAACCGGGGAACUGCGUCUGAUACUGGAUGGCUUGAGGUUGGGAGAGGGAUGCGGAAUUCCAGGUGUAGCGGUGAAAUGCGUAGAUAUCUGGAGGAACACCGGUGGCGAAGGCGGCAUCCUGGACCAAUUCUGACACUGAGGAGCGAAGCCAGGGAGCAAAGCGGG